rnacentral:rRNA from 1 species
UACGUAGGGUGCGAGCGUUGUCCGGAAUUAUUGGGCGUAAAGGGCUCGUAGGCGGUUUGUCGCGUCGGGAGUGAAAACUCAGGGCUUAACCCUGAGCCUGCUUCCGAUACGGGCAGACUAGAGGUAUGCAGGGGAGAACGGAAUUCCUGGUGUAGCGGUGAAAUGCGCAGAUAUCAGGAGGAACACCGGUGGCGAAGGCGGGAUCCUGGGCCAGUACUGACGCUGAGGAGCGAAAGCGUGGGGAGCAAACAGG